rnacentral:lncRNA from 1 species
CUUGUUCUUGCAACAAAAAUCAUCAUGUAGCAAGUUGCUCCUCCAUAAUAUCCAUACUAAAGACCACAUGUGUCAUGCCUGCAAUCACAAAUUCAUGGACAAAAUAUUAAGAUUAGACUCACAAUGAAGAGGAAGCUAGAGCCCAGAUGGAAAAGGUACAUCUUAUUCCCUUCCAAAAUUCAUUUGGAUUGAGAAAAGCAGGAACUUUCCACAACCGAAUAACCCUAGCCUUGAUACGAACCCUUUCUUUGCCAGGAACAACAUCAGCAAUUUCAUCAAAAGCAGAAUCAACCAAACGUUUCUCCAUGUACACCAUCGUUAGGAAGACGAGACAAACAAUUUGUGACUGAACAAAUAUCAACAAUU